CUCUGCUUUGCCCUCCUCAGACUGGCUACUGUGCUUUACUCUAAGGCUUUGAGGUUCCCCCCCUGUCCCAGCUGAUCUCCCUACCAGCCGGGGGCUUCUAGGGUGCAGAUUCCUUUCCUCUUUAACAGCUCCUUCCCAGGAGUGCUGGUCCUGUCCUGUUUCCUCUCUUUUUUUCCUUUUGUCCUACCCAAUUAUGUGGAGAUUGUCUUGCCUUUUUGGAAGUCUGAGGUCUUCUGCCAGCCUUCAGUAGAUGUUCUGUGAGAAUCAUUCUAUAGGUAGAUGUGGGGGUUUGGGGUAUAUUUGUGGGAGAGGGUGAGCUCCACAUCCUGCUCCUUCAACCAUCUUGAUUCCACUCCCUCAAUAUAAUUCUUAGUAGUUCCAUAUAGUGUAUUGUGAGGAUGUUCCAUUCAUUGUUAAUUAUCCCUAAUUUCUUGGGUGUUUGGUUUCUUUCUCAGUUUGUCUUCCUUUCACUGACAAGUAAGACCAAUCAUCUUUUUUCUCGUAUGACUAUUUUUUUUUUUUUUUUUUUUUUGCAGAAGAUGGCACUGUUUCCUAGAAAAGUGAGUGAAGUUACCCUUGACCAAUUAAGGAAGGAGAAAAGACCCUUCCAGAUGAUGAAGCAAGUUACCCCUGGAGUGCGCCCUCUGCAGCCUCACCUGGUCUGUCCAGGUAAGAUUCCAGUGAUGUCUCACAAACUAGCAUCACACUGCCUGGGACUCUAUGGAGCAGAAAUGCCUGUCCAUUUUCUGGUCACUCUUGUGAAGAGGAUGGACAUUUUGUGAUAGAUUUUCCCUAUGAGGAGAGUCCAACACCAGCCCUCCAAAAUUUAGGUGUGGAAAACAGAUUUCAGUCCUGUAAGGAGAGAAAAGUCAUAUGCAGAUCAUCUGACUCUUCUCCACAAGGGAAGAAAAGCAGGCAGCAUAGCACUCACUUGAUGCUGUUCUGACUCAGAGGAAAACCAGUGGGAGAAAACACACUCUGGGAAUACCAUCUUUUUUUGGAGGGCAGGGGUUGUCACCUUUAAAUUGUAAUAAUGUACUGUCACAUCUGAUCUAAUAUCAGUUAUAAAUUCCCCUGGAAAGAACCUCCCAUCGCACCCACUUCAUUAAAGCAUUCUGCUAAUUUGCCUUCCCUGAGAAAAUGUUUCCAGGGAAAAAGGUGAGAAUCAUCCCUACAGCCCAGCAGUAGGCUGGACUGGGUGUUACCAGCAACCAUAUAAAUCCUUUAAGGACGUGAUUGUCCUCUUUUCACGAGAGAAUGAAUUAGCAAAAUCAAUCUGCAGGGGUUGCAUCUGUUUUUCUUGGGGCAGGUAAAACUGAGAGCACUGUUAUUGCUUAUCUCUCUGCUUUCUAGCUGUGAUGGGAGGAGGGGGAGAGCAGAGUGUUCUAUAGCUGAUUUGAAAUUUUCUGUCAUUUGUGUGAGUGUACUGAUUUUUCUCAAUCAUGCAUUCGUUUUAACAGUCAUUUGUUGAGUGUCGAUGAUAUGUCUUGUAUUUGCUGAGGUGCUGGAGAUUCAACAAGCCCUAAACACACCCAGUUCCUCCUUCACGGAGCCCACUUUCUCACAGCCCCGCCAGAGGCAGAGAGGAACCCAGGCUGACCCGCUUCUCACAGUUGGGUUGUGGGGACGGAUAUGCAAGGAAAGGAAACAUGUGACAGUGAGAUUGGACACAGCUGGGGAAAGGACAGAAAAGAGCUGGGGUGGGAGAGGGCUGGGAGGGACUCUGGGUGGGAAAGCAUCAGUGGAACUUGGGGUCACAUGGAGGCCACAUGCAGCAUGGUGUGCCAUGUGAUCCCUUCCAGAGCUUUUUAAAAAUAGUCCAAAAGAUAAAAACUAAAUGCUACUUGAGGAUACAUUUCUUGUGAAAAGUGAUGACAGGACUAGCACUUGCACUUUAAUGGCUGUGAGAAGAUGAGUGUGGGCAGCACACCUGGGUACCAGCCCCGCCAUGUGCGUGUGCACAUAGUGAGCUCAGAUGUUCCUCUCCGGGCCUUUAGAGAUAGAUCUUUUUCACUCUUCCUUCCUUCCUUCCUCUCUCCCUACAGUUAGUUUACAUUAUCUCUACAAAGAGAAACAGGAUCUUAAAACUGUUUACAGUUUUGCUUCCUAUCACUUUAAGAUUUCUAUUAUGGUUCUCAUUUUUCCCUCUCAUUGGACUUUUGGGUCUUGUAACUGUUUCUGAUUUCAGAAAUGCGGGUUUUGUUGUUGUUUUGCAUGUCAUUUUGUUCUGUUUCUUUGUUUACUAGCAGGGGUUUUUCCUAAUUUAGAUUCUCUGUGGAAGUUCAAAAUUGCUCUUUGCUCAGCGGUAUUCAGUUUGGGACCCACAACUUAAGGUGAAUUUGGAGAAUUUUUUUUUUAAUCCAGAAAAAGAAAAAAAUGCUUAUGGGGUGAGGAAGUAAGAAUUAUAGUGAAAGAGUGUAGGAGAUGAGAUCAUUUCAGCAACAGACAGCCAAAGAUGUCUUGUUUAUUUAAUCCACUGGCUUCAUACUUGGGUCUCUACUCUCAAGAAAUUCAAAUGAAUUUGGAACAGUUCUCCUUGGAAUUCUGGUUAGAACUAUUCUCACAAACUUUUAAAAACUCUUGUUCCUUCAUCCUCAUCUAUGUAAAACUAGAGUAUAAGUAUCCAACACUGUUAUCUUGGAUACAAAGUAUGCAGUUCACAUGAAUGAAUAAUGACUCAAAUGUCUUUAUAGAGAGAAAAGGCUGAUAACCAGCUGUUUUUAGUUUGUACUCAUAAAUAAAUAAGAGGACACUGUUCCAAAUUGUAGCUUAGAAUCUCUUGGUAUUAUACAAUGUGGAAUUACCGACAAUUAUGUUUGUUCAGUAUUAGAAGGGGCCAUCGUUUUUUCUGGAAGGAAACAAUGUGAGCCAUUCAGCAUAUCCCCCAGAAGCUGCAAAUAAUCUUUUUUGUUUUGUUUUUAAUUGCUUUAAAAUUUUUUUAAAUUGACAUAUAGUUGAUUUACAAUGUUGUAUUUCUGCUGUACAGCAAAGUGACUCAGUUAUGUGUAUAUAUAUAUAUAUAUAUAUUCCUUUUCAUAUUCUUUUCAUUAUGAGUUAUGCAAAUAACCUCAUUGCAGGAAACUGGUCUUUCCCUGAGGGUCUAACUCUGGCAUUUGCCUUGUGGGGGAAAAAUUGUUAGUCUUCUGCCCUUUUUCAACUUUUUAAGGUGUUUUCCUUCAAUAUUUUUAUCAAUGUAAAUUUUUUAACAUUCAUGAGAGGGGCAUAUUUUUUGUGCAUAUAAAGUUCAUUUAGAAUUGUGUACAUCUUAAAUUAAUAUCUGUCUAUAAAAUUAAUAUUUAGAUUUCAAUAAUAAGCUGAGAAUAGUCACCUAUAUGUUUUAUCUGAUUAAAAUUCAGUGAACCGCUGUGACCCAGUGCAAGUGAGAGACCUGAAGUUUAUGCUUCAUUGGCUGAGGCUCACCCAGAUGUGGUACCCCGGUGAAGGACUGGAUAUAAGUCCUGGUUUCCCAGAAACCCCCAGGUUAUGCUUGCCAUUCUUGUUUAAAUUUUAAUAAUUCCCCUUUUCUUUUGGAAAAAAACCAGUCCUGGUUUGCAUGACAAAUUAUAUGGUCUUUCGAUUUAUGUUGGACACUCUGUGGCCACAAAAACUGGGCCUGAAUAGGAAGCGGUCAGCCCUAACUUUAACGUCUUCAUUGCCUUUCUGCUCCAGCCAUCAGGCGGUGCGCAGGGAGGGUAAAAUCCCUGAGCUGAUUAUAAUGGGUUGCAAAGAAGGUUCCUAUUGAUCAUCGUUUCUAUCUUCUUAAAGGGUAUUGUUUUGACUUUAAUUUAUUACAUAAAUGUGACUUAUAAAUAUUCAAUGAACUAAAGUUGAUGACAUUAGACUUCCUUAAAGAGUCCAAUUUACAAUUUAGUUAUUUAAAUUCCCCCAAACAUAUAAAGAUGUACCUUUGACUUUAAGAUUACUUAUUUAAAACCAAUUAUUGAAUUACCUACUUUAAAAUGGAAUUACAAGGCAAAUCUGUCAGAAUCUCAAUAUGCACAAAAUGUAAUUUAGAAUGAAUCAGUGUUGAAUUUUAAACAGAAUUUGCAUAUGUAGCUUGCUUUACUUCAUCAACGGUUUACCUCUAAAUCUUACCAAGGUUGGAAGUACUUAUUAAGGCAAUAGUUUUAUCUUUUUUAAAAAAUUUAAAGAUAUUAUCCCCAUACUGGUGGACUUACUAUCCCAGCAGAAAUAGGUACAUCUAGAAAAUGGGUAGGCAUGUUUUUCAGUUACCUAUGCUGGGUAACAAACACUCCCCAACUUGGGGGUGUGAAACAACUAUUUUAUUAUGCUCCCUGGUUCUGUUACAGGCAUAGCUUAUCUCUGCUACAUGACAUCAUGAUGUCUGGAGACCUCAGCUCUGGGGACUGGAAUGGUGGCAGGUGCAGGAAUCACGUGGUCAGACACUGACUCUUGUGUCUGAGUCUGGUUAGACUCAGGCUGGGUCUCAGGCUGAGUUCAGCUGGGAUGAUUGAUCAGAUACCCACACACAGCCCCUUCCUAUGGCUUGGGCUUCUCUCAACGUGGCAGCUGAGUUCUGGGAGGAAGCAUCCUGAGGGGGAGCAAGCAUUUCAAAGGAUCUAGGUAGGAGCUGCAUGGGUUUUAUGACAUAGCCUCAAACAUCACAUGGCAUUAAUGUGUGGUAUAUACUGUUGCUCAAAGCAGUCAGCCCCCCAUAUUGAAGGGAUUCUCUCAAUAGCAAGAAUGUCAAAGAAUUUGUAGACAUUAAAAAAAAAAAAAAAAAA
rnacentral:lncRNA from 1 species